GAAAAAGCUGCAGCCCAAAUUACCAGCUUUUAAAGCAACUAGAGCAAGGUGAAGAGACUUUAUCUGAUUGCCUCUGGCAUUUUCUCCAAAGCCACUUGUUUCUCAGUAGCAGAAAUAUCUUGCCCAAUUGGGAUGCAAUAAUUUCAAAGCAAGUAAAGGAAACUGCAGCUGCUCAGCUGAGUCAGCCAAAGGUGCUGGAGCCUUCUCAUGGUAUCUACAAGCUCAGGACAGAGGAUGACACUUGCCAGUCUCUCCCACUGUGGGCCCCACUCUGUGUUGUGCACAUCUUUUUGGUGUUCCCUGUCCCAUGGUGGCUCCCCAAGGAGCAAUGUAGGCUGUUCCACAAGCAAACAAACCAAAUACCUGUAACAAUGGCUCCAUGGAGAUCAGCUUUGAGCAGCUUGCUCUGAAUCAUAUGGGGUUGCCUUGAGGAAGAGAAUGGGAUCAAAGAGGAGGGAAAAAAUCAAAUGAACUGUCAGAUUUACAAAAUGUGAACAUGACUAUUAUAAUCAUGAUAAUUCUGUGAUUCUGUGAAAGGAUACCAAUAUGCUUAUCAGUUAGCCACAGUGUUUCAAGCAGUAACUCAAUAAAACUAGAAGUUUUACUGCAUAAAAGCCAGACUAAAUGUAAAAUAUGCCCACGUACGCAUCGGGUUUGAGGCCAUGGCACAGGUCUCUGAUGUACUGCUUCCAGAGCUCGUGGAGUGGGAGAAAGAUGGCAUAUCUGCAGUAAAAUAAAGAUAAAAUAUUAUACAAA